rnacentral:rRNA from 1 species
GAGGAGCCCGCGGCCUAUCAGCUUGUUGGUGAGGUAACGGCUUACCAAGGCUUUGACGGGUAGCUGGUCUGAGAGGACGACCAGCCACACUGGGACUGAGACACGGCCCAGACACCUACGGGUGGCAGCAGUCGAGAAUUUUUCUCAAUGGGGGAAACCCUGAAGGAGCGACGCCGCGUGGAGGAUGAAGGUCUUCGGAUUGUAAACUCCUGCCAUUGGGGAACAAUGGUUACGCGUUAACUGCGCGUGACUUGAUAGUACUCGAAGAGGAAGAGACGGCUAACUCUGUGCCAGCAGCCGCGGUAAUACAGAGGUCUCAAGCGUUGUUCGGAUUCAUUGGGCGUAAAGGGUGCGUAGGCGGCGCGGUAAGUCGGGUGUGAAAUCUCGGGGCUUAACUCCGAAACUGCAUUCGAUACUGCCGUGCUUGAGGACUGGAGAGGAGACUGGAAUUUACGGUGUAGCAGUGAAAUGCGUAGAUAUCGUAAGG